UGCUCUACACCUACACUGCCGAUUUUCUUCCCCAAGAAGAGAACCACCCUUUUUCCUCUUCCAAGUUUAAUUUCGCAGAGAAUUCAAGUAGUAGCUGCAAUACCUUGUAAUAUAAAGGUUCCGGCUAGGAACGAGCCCGACACUAGAGUACGAAGUAAGAGAAACAUAUCAGGUUAAGUUUGGAUGAAGAUGGAAGUGUGCUGAGCUGGAGCUUUUUGUUUAUGUAAAUAGUAAUAGGCUCAGGAUGUUGUGUCUUCAUACAUAAUGUCCAAUGAUGUACUCCGCUGCAACACUUUAUUUCUCUUAUCACUUUUGACGUGUUGUAGAAUGUUUUAAAACCUUAACCUGUAUAUGAGCGUGAUAAAUCUUGGUUAUGAUAUUUAUUUGGUCUAAA